CUGUGAUGACUGCUUCUUAACUACUGGCCAGAUUCCUAUGAGGGUGGAGCAGAGGCCAGAGAUGAUUUAAGUCCUGCCUGCUCCUCACAGGCAGUGUAAACUUUUGGGGUGAAGGUCAGCCCUUAAAGCUCUGCAGUGACCACACCAGCACACAGGAUCUGUUCCAGUGCAAGGCCAGCCUAGGCAGAGGAGUGCUCCUGCUGUGGGCUGCAGGGAGCCUUUCAUCCAGGCUCAGCAUUUCCUGUGCUGCCAGAGAACACAUUCAGAGCUCAAUUCUGACGCCAGAAGUCUCUUUUCCUUCAGGAGCUGACGUUCCACAGUUAACCAGCAUGGAUCAGUUCAUAUCUGACUUCCUGGUAGAAAAGAAUUUUCAGCAAUUGGCCACCAACUUUGUCCCUCACUACACCACAUUAGUCAGUAAGGUAGGGGGCAUUAUCUCUCCAGAAAAUCUUGGUAGAAUUCAAGCAGCCCUUAAAGAGGCCAACCUAAAAGAUGUGGCUAAACAUAAUUGAGGAAUCACUUAUGGCAGCAGAGAAUGCUCCCCUGGAUGUGGCUGUGAUUGGGGAAUCUGGCACUGGGAAGUCCAGUUUCAUCAAUGCCUUGCGAGGAGUUAGUUAUGAAGAGGAGGGUUUUGCGGGUGUUGGUGUUGUGGAGACCACCAUGAAGAAAACACCCUAUCAACAUCCCAAAUAUCCUAAUGUGACUUUCUGGGACCUGCCUGGAACUGGAACCCCCAAUUUCCAUCCACGUGAAUAUCUAGAAAUGGUGGAAUUUGCUACCUAUGACUUCUUCAUCAUUAUUUCUUCCUCUCGGUUUACCCUCAAUGAUGCUUUGCUGGCCCAAAAUAUCACGGAGAUAGGCAAGAAGUUCUACUUUGUUAGAACCAAAGUGGACAAUGAUUUAUAUAAUGAAGAGAAAAGAAAACCCACAUCUUUCAAAAGGGAGGGAGUGCUUCAGCGGAUACGAGACAACUGUCUGGCUAACCUCAGCCACAUUGGAGUGCCUGAGCCAUGCAUCUUCCUGGUCUCCAACUUUGACCUGGAUGACUUUGAUUUCCCAAUACUGGAAGAGACCCUGCUGAAGGAGCUCCCUGUUCAUAAGCGCUACACCUUUGUGGUCCUGUUGCCCAAUUUGUCUGAUGCUUCCAUUGAGAUGAAGAGAGCUUUCCUCAAGGAGAAGAUCUGGCUGGAUGCCCUGAAAUCAUCUGCUUUGAGCUUCAUCCCCUUCAUGGCCUGCUUUAAUGGCUUUGAUUUGCCUGAGCAGGAAAAGUGCUUGAACCUUUACCGGAGCCAUUUUGGUUUGGAUGAGAACUCAGUCAAAGGGAUUGCCGAGAAGCUGAGCAUGUCUUUGGAGGAUAUCAAGAGUUUCACCAAAUCCUUGACUAUCCGGUUCCUUAUUCAGGAUGACAGCAUAGCAGACAAGGCCAUGAAGUGUGCUGAAAGCUUUUGCUCAGUAAAUGGAGGCUUGCCAUCCACUAUCUUUCAGUUUUUUAAAAUCUACUUUCUGCACUUGAAAUUCAUCAAUACAGUGGCUGAUGAUGCUAAAAUUCUCUUGCAUAAGACUUUAAAGAGCUUAAGUCUCAGAAGAUGACAGAGAGAUGGCUCAGAAUGCCUAACUGAAUAACAAAUGGGCCUCAGCUCUCGUGUUCUGUCAGUGGGGGUGGGGUCCUCUUCCACCUACCAACAAGGCCAGAUCUUUCCUAAAGUGGAGAGAAUGUCUCUCCAUUGGACAAAAGCAUUACUCCAUAUUGAUACUCCACUACUAUGCAAAGGUGAUUUAACCAUGACCUCUUCCUGCAUUCCCUGGGCUAUAUUGCUGAAAUUAUGACAUAAAAUUCACCCCAUAGUUUUCAUUAAUCUCCAUGUGUAAUGAAGUAGUUUACAUUUGCUUCAUUUACUCAGAUAAUAAACAUUUGGUAACAAUCAA